GCAGGUGCAAUGUUGUAAUAGAGGUAGCAGGCCUGAGCGUGUGCAAUGUUGUAAUAGAGGUAGCAGGGCUGAGCGUGUGCAAUGUUGUAAUAGAGGUACAAGCAACACAGGGAUAGGGAGAAGGUGAUCCACAUUGCAGGGGCCUAAUUACAGGGGGCCCUGAAUGCCAAGCCAAGACUUGGAAAAUUAGAAGGUCUACAAGGACUCCAGAACUCUCCAGGAGUGAUGAAAGAUGGUGUCUUAGCCUGGGUUUCUGCAACAAGCAGAGCCUAGCACAACAUGGUGGUUUACUUUGAAAAGUGAUCCCAAGAAACAGGAGUGAGAGGCUCGGAAGAGUCAAACGGAAAGAGGACAAGCCAACCAAGGCUGUGCCUGGGUGCAUCACGAUUCACCUAAAAAUCACCACUGAAAUCCGCAGCAGGCAAUUGUGCCAGACAACAGGUGAUGACGGGGGCAAACACGACUCAGCUUCUGCCUGCAGCAUCUACAGUCAUGGAAGGAGACCUCCGUGAAAGUGUGGUGUUUGCUGUGAGAGGGAGCAGACGCUCACUGCCAUAGAUCUCAGAGACCACCAAGGCUGAAUAAGCUGAACAACGCAUGCGGAAAGUCCACAGGCCUGCACACCAAUGGCCACAGCCUGUUCUCUCCCUGCAGGUAGGACACUCAUGCGGUACCACCCUUCCUGAGGACACCUUCCUUCCAUUGCCUGGACAGCAGCAUCCUGCCCUGGGCCACCCUCCAUGUGGAUGCCCUUCCCACUUCCCCAGGGCACUGACUCCAAGCGCAAGGUGCCCUUGCAAUAGACACUCUCCUCACCCCUCUAGUUCUGCCAUCCUGCCCUGGGCCACCUUCUGUGUAGACCCCUCCUCACCCCACUGAGGGUCUGAGUCUCCGUGCCAGGACAUCCUCCCUGGACAGGACCCCCUUCGGACCCUGCUUUGGUCUCCGACACAUGCUGGGCUGCCCCCUCCUAUGUUGGCACCCUCCUCGCUCCACAUGGGCAACCUCACACUGGACCACCGCCCUUGUGUGAGCCUCUAUCUCACCCCGGUGGACUCCACCCUCCUGCUCUGGGCACGCUACUUCCUCCCCACUCAGCUACAGAGGCCUGCCUUGCUCUACCUUACCUAAUGGCUUCUGAACAGAAUUUUCUAGAAGGGAGAGGAAGAAGCAUCGAGCUGGUUCUCUUGGCCUGUUCCUGGAUCCCAUCCUUCUCCUUUGUUCCCGGCUCCUCCAUUCUCUAGGAAUCUCAAUCUCUUCCGGCAUUGCUGAGUUCUCAAGCUCUCUACUUUCCACUGAGCCUGUGAGUCCAGCAGGGACUGGGGUUGGGAUGCAGUUUUCAGAGACCUGUGACUACACCUUUGUUACUGGAUAGACUCCUCAGCCCUGGAUCAGCCACAGCCCUCUCCCAGGAAGCCCCUCAACUCUCUGCUAUUACCCUUCUCCAAGGCCUGAAAACAGGACUCUCUCUUCGAGAAGAUCACAGACCCUUGAGAAGAUACAGAAAUUCUCUGCUCGGCCCAAGUCAAAAUAAAAUGACUGAAUAGGCCAGGGCAGCACAGACGAGAGAGGAGUUUUCUCUGGGGCAGUGGUUCUCCAAGUGUAGUCACUGAGCAAGCAGCAGCAGAGUCAGCUGGGAACUUGUGGGACAUACAGAUCCUGGAGCCCCACCCAGACUACUGAAGCAGAACCUCCUGGGGUGGCGCUGGCAAUCUGUGUUUUAAUAAGCCCUCCUCAUUCUGAUGUCCUCUAAAGUGUGAGAACCACAGCUCCAGAAUACUGCAGGGCAGUGACGGGUGGAGGAGAAGGAGUAGGGCUGACUUCUCAGAAGAGUCCCGAAGACCUUGUCCUUGAGUCUGCAGAGAAGUUCACCAGGCAGACAAAGAAAGAAAGAGCAAGCCCAGGCAUACCCACAAGUACCAUCUGAGCUCUGCAUACCUUCUGAUAUAUGUUUAAUAAUCUUGGAAUAACAAUUGUAUUGAUAUUAUGUUGUUUAGAGUAAGUGGCAAUGUAUUCUUUGAAGAGUUAAAACUGUUUUCUGUGUUUAGAAAAGUUCUCACUUGAACUUAAUUUUGUGUUCUAAAUUUAACUAAGGAUUAUUUUUAUACAAACUUUUGAAAGCUUACUAAAUUUAUCUGAUUAACUUGUUAACAGUAGGUAGUUAGGCAGACAUAAGCAGGGCAGACCCCCACCCCCACCCCAGGAACGUCAGACAACCAUCAGGUGAUGGUCAGGAAGUUGUUCCACUGCUCCCUAAAAUAAUAACUGAUCGCACCCAGCACCAGGGAAAGGCAGUCUCCCAAUAGAUAGAAAACACCUGGCCGGGCACGGUGGCUCACGCCUG
rnacentral:lncRNA from 10 species